GCUCGGCUGCUGUUUCCCGGCACAAGCGGUGCGGGGUGUCGCGGCGACAGGCGCGGCGGGUUGUGUCAGCUCCCCUCAUCCCCCUCCCCGCGGGGAGGCGGAGCCGCCGGUUCCCUGCCCGCCCGCGGCCGGCCGGGGGCUGUGGCCGUGGCUAUGGCCAUGGCCAUGUUGCGCGGGGCCGCGGCGGUUGUGGCCCGGCGGUGCGGCCUCGGGCCCGGCUCCAGCGGGGGAAAAGUGGCAGCGCGGCGGCGGUGCAGCGCGGCGCGGCGGCGGGAGUGGGUGCCGCCGGUGGGGCGGGACAGCGGGAUCGUGGCUUACAACAGCCGCAGCCGGACCAAGGAGCCGCUCGUACUGACCAAGGACCGAGUGGCGACCUGGUACAGCUGCGGGCCGACAGUGUACGACCAGGCACACCUCGGGCACGCGUGCUCCUAUGUUAGGUUCGAUAUAAUUCGAAGGAUAAUGACUAAGUUUUUUGGAAUUGAAGUUAUCAUGGUGAUGGGGAUCACAGACAUAGAUGACAAGAUAAUAAAAAGAGCCAAUGAGAUGAAUAUGUCACCAGUAGCUCUUGCUCGUAUUUAUGAAGAAGACUUCAAACAAGAUAUGGCUGCCUUAAAGGUCCUUCCUCCUACAGUAUAUAUGAGAGUGACUGAAAAUAUUCCUCAGAUAAUUUCCUUUAUAAAAACUAUAAUUGCUAAUGGCCAAGCUUACGCAACCUCACAAGGCAAUGUUUAUUUUGAUGUUGAGUCUUGGGGAAAAAGAUACGGAGUAUUAACUACUAUUUCUCCUGAUACCCAAGAUGAAGCAGUUAAUACUGAUAAACGACAUGGUAAAGAUUUUGCCCUGUGGAAGGCAGCUAAACCUCAAGAGCUAUCUUGGACUUCUCCCUGGGGAAAAGGAAGACCUGGAUGGCACAUAGAGUGUUCCACAAUAUCGAGUGCAGUGUUUGGAAAGCAGCUGGACAUCCAUACUGGUGGAAUAGAUCUUGCAUUUCCUCAUCAUGAAAAUGAAAUCGCACAGUGUGAGGUGUAUCAUCAGUGUGAGCAAUGGGGGAAUUACUUUUUGCAUUCUGGGCAUUUGCAUGUUAAAGGAAGUCAAGAAAAAAUGUCCAAAUCAUUGAAAAACUACAUAACAGUUAAGGAUUUCCUGAAGAAAUUUUCAUCGGAUCAAUUCAGGAUGUAUUGUUUGCGCAGCAGAUACAGCUCAGCAGUAGAAUUCAGUGACAAGAGCAUGGAUGAUGCAAAGAACCUUCUUCAGGCAAUCUCCUCAUUUAUUAAAGAUGCAAAUGCUUAUAUAAAAGGACAGCUGAUAUGUGACCCUGUUAGAGAAGACAUACUGUGGGAAAGGCUAGCCAACACAAAAGUAGCCGUGAAGGCUGCGUUUGCAGAUGACUUUGACACCUCCAGGGCUGUUGCAGCAAUUAUGGACCUCAUUCACCAUGGCAACAGACAGCUUAAGGCUGUUACUAAGGAUGCUGGAUCUCCUAGAAGCUCUGUUGUGUAUGGAAGCAUUAUUUCCUAUAUAGAAGGCUUUUUUAAUGCCCUUGGGAUGUCCUUUGGAGAAAGACAGGUGGCUCUGGGAGGGGACAACUCUGCUGUGCUCUCCAGCGUCAUUGACGAGCUCGUGCAGUUCCGCACCAAGGUCCGUCAUUACGCACUCGCUCUGCCAGAGGCAGCAGAGACUGCGCCAGUGGAGGGUGAUGCAGGAGCCAAAGGAUCGAAACGGGAAGAGAAGGAAAAGAGGCAGCAGCUAAUGCGGGAGAGAAAACCCCUCCUGGAGGCCUGCGACAGUCUGCGUGAAGACCUUGCUGCCUUUGGAAUCCACAUAAAGAAUAGUUUGCUCCCGAAGCCAAAGCAGACGUAUGAGCACACACAGCCCACUGAGCUCCCUCUUUCUUUGCUGAUCCCGUAGAAGGUGUGCUGUGGAGCUGGCCCAGACCUUGCCUUUGCAAAUCCCAGAGGAGUCCCACAAACUGAGCGAUGUGACAUGACACGGUGCCGCCCGAGGCAGGGCUCUCACCACCCUCAGCACGGAUCUGCUUGGCUGGGACAGAGCUGCUGUUUCAACGUGGGAAAUGGCGGAAGGAGGAGGGCAAGCAGAGGAGCAGGCUCAGAAAAAAUGCUGAUCCUUCAUCUUUGGACUUGCUGGGGUUUUUUUAUUUCAGCUGCUUUGGCAGCAGUUGUAAAUACUAAUACUUUCCAAAUAAAGUCUUUGGAACAGAA